rnacentral:rRNA from 1 species
UUCGAGCAGAACAGACGAGGAAGCUGUGUAUACUGGGAUAACUUCGGGCCCGGCUGAAUUUAACCCCGGAUAAUAUAUUGAACCGCAUGCUUCAAUAGUGAAAAACGGGUCCGCGCCCGCCUAUAGUUGGUAAAGGUAACGGCUUACCCAAGCAACGAUGCGUAGCCGACCUGAGAGGGUGAUCGGCCACACCGGAACUGAGACACCGUCCAGACUCCUACGGGAGGCAGCAGUAGGGAAUCUUCCGCAAUGGGCGAAAGCCUGACGGAGCAACGCCGCGUGAGUGAUGAAAGUCUUCGGAUCGUAAAACUCUGUUAUUAGGGAAGAACAAAUGUGUAAGUAACUAUGCACGUCUUGACGGUACCUAAUCAGAAAGCCACGGCUAACUACGUGCCAGCAGCCGCGGUAAUACGUAGGUGGCAAGCGUUAUCCGGAAUUAUUGGGCGUAAAGCGCGCGUAGGCGGUUUUUUAAGUCUGAUGUGAAAGCCCACGGCUCAACCGUGGAGGGUCAUUGGAAACUGGAAAACUUGAGUGCAGAAGAGGAAAGUGGAAUUCCAUGUGUAGCGGUGAAAUGCGCAGAGAUAUGGAGGAACACCAGUGGCGAAGGCGACUUUCUGGUCUGUAACUGACGCUGAUGUGCGAAAGCGUGGGGAUCAAACAGGAUUAGAUACCCUGGUAGUCCACGCCGUAAACGAUGAGUGCUAAGUGUUAGGGGGUUUCCGCCCCUUUAGUGCUGCAGCUAACGCAUUAAGCACUCCGCCUGGGGGAGUACAACCGCAAGGUUGAAACUCAAAGGAAUUGACGGGGACCCGCACAACCGGUGGACCAUGUGCGUUUAAUUCAAAACAACGCGAAAAACCUUAACAAAUCUCGACAUCCGCUGACCCCUCUAGAUCCAGAGUUUUCCCCUUCCGCGGACAGAGUGAACGGUGGUGCAUGGUUGUCGACAGCUCGUCUCACAAGAUCAUAGAUUAAGUCCCGCAACAAGCGCAACCACUGAGCUUAGUUGCCAUCUCUAAGCUGCGCACUUCAAAUCUGCGACGCGUGACAAACCGGAGGAAGGUGGGGAGGACGUCAAAUUCCAUCGGGAUGCGCGCCUCACGAUUGUGGGCUACACACGUGCUACAGAGUGGA